UACGUAGGGUCCGAGCGUUGUCCGGAAUUAUUGGGCGUAAAGGGCUCGUAGGCGGUUUGUCGCGUCGGGAGUGAAAACUCAGGGCUCAACCCUGAGCGUGCUUCCGAUACGGGCAGACUAGAGGUAUGCAGGGGAGAACGGAAUUCCUGGUGUAGCGGUGGAAUGCGCAGAUAUCAGGAAGAACACCCGUGGCGAAGGCGGUUCUCUGGGACGGUACUGACGCUGAGACGCGAAAGCGUGGGGAGCGAACAGG
rnacentral:rRNA from 1 species